UUGGAGGGCAAGUCUGGUGCCAGCAGCCGCGGUAAUUCCAGCUCCAAUAGCGUAUAUUAAAGUUGUUGCAGUUAAAAAGCUCGUAGCUGAAUUUCGGGAUUGACAUGUUGGUCGUGCCUUAAGGGGUAUGAACUGACAUUGUUGAUUUCUCACCUUCUGGAGAAUCACAAUGCUCUUAAUUGGGUGUCGUGUGGAUCCAGGAUCUUUACCUUGAAAAAAUUAGAGUGUUUAAAGCAGGCAAUCUCU
rnacentral:rRNA from 1 species